CAUGAAAUUCAAAGUUCACGUUCAGACAAGCUAAACUAAUCUCCUUCGAGAAUCUUUCACGCUCCGCCUUCAAUCACCGAGGGAUUAAAGCAAGAAAAAUCACGGAUUCCAUCUCUGUUCUUUUCAAUCACUUACUUUAAUUUGUAACAGAAAUUAACUUUAAGAUGACCCCUCAUCGAUCGUCAAGUUGAAUGUCGUCUCGAGCAUAAAAGGCGAAAUUGAUAGAGGUUUCGAACUCUCUGCUGUUACAACAUAAUCCUGGAAUUUCAAGUUUCAGACCGAGGGAGUUCUACAUAUUAACAAGGAGGAUACAACUUUGUAACUGGUCGUCGGUUGUCCACAAGCUGUUGGCGAACUUCAGCGCGGAUAAAUUGGGAAUACAGGUCGCGGCCAGUUUAUGCCUCACGUAUUACACGCGAAGUGCUCGGCAACUCCAGCCGUGGCCAUAUUCGGAAUACAGCUCGUGAUCAGUCGGUUGCCUCUCGCGAAUGUUCGUAUAUAUCUGCCAGCACGGCUCCCAGUGCACGAAUUUAUUCGCGAGACAGGCGAAUUGUGUCGUCCGAAUAAUAAUCGUGCGCUUUUAUCUCGAGCUGCCACAGACCGAGCUGCGGAUGAAGUUUAAAGGUCGCUUUACGUUAUGCGUCACGUUUACAUCACGUUCAAACAUUUCUCUGACAAACAGUUACCUAUCAUAAUUUAAGUUUCUAAACAUAUCUGCAAACUUGCAAAUUACUCAUCAGGAACGAUUAAGAUGAGAUAAAAAAAUUUUACUUUUUGUAACUUGAACUCUGACAUGUUGGAAUAACAGCCGAGUCUAGAUUUAUCGCAAACUUGAUCGUGACGAGGCAAGAUGUAACAUUUUGCAUAAUGCGAAUCAAUUCUAAACCCGACCGUACGCGCUGCCGGCGCUUUCGCGGUAGCUUACCACGUUACCGUUAUGAACGUCGAGCUUUAAUUACGAUGGUGGAAUCCGAGCGAAAUAUAAUCGCCGUUCGUAAGGUCGUAGCUUCGCGGGAAUCGGCUACUAUUUGCCGCCAAAUUACUUUCGUACGUGAUACCGGAAUAUACGGCGGUGCUCGCACUCGCACACGUAUUCCGCUAUCACACCAACGGGACGAGGUAGCGCGGGAUGCAGAAAUUGCACGACAGGUGGAAAUGUCGUUUCGAGCGCAAAACACAAAGCUGCACCCGGCAAUGGAAACUCGUCGAAGGAUACUUGGCCGCUUUACAGUCGCGUAAUUGCACUCGUAUCGAAAUACCGGCAAGUCGCUUCCUUUUUUUUACGCGCAAGCUAAAUAUUUUCCAGGCUUAGCGAGAUUUUUCCGUCCACGAAUCGUAGCUUCGACUUUACGAAGCUGUUUGCCCGCGUACUCGCUGCAUAUUUUACAACAUUUCGUCACGUUGGAAAUACACAUUCGCGUACGGUAUUUCGAGAAAUCGAACACUCGAGAUAUGGCGAUUUGCCUAACGGCCGUUUCAUGUUUUAUUUGCGAAUACGAUCUUUACGUCAUUUAGUACUGAUCAAUAUUAAUUGUGUUGCAACACACAUACUUGCUUCGAUUAUUUAGAAAGAGAUAACUCGUUAAUUAAACAAUACAUUACAUAUAUAAAUAAACAAAGCAUAUCAUAUAAAAUAGAUUGAUAUUUUCAGAAAAGAAGUAAAUUGAUAGAAUGUCAUUAUUAUUAGAAAUCGAUAUCAGUUUAUUACACUACACUGCAAAAUACUCAGCGAGAUUAUAAUUUCAAUCCCUGCACACUAUUGCAUUGCAUUGACGCAACGGCAUUUCGCCGCAAUCGGAUACGAUAGGCAAAUGUGUCGACCGACUCUCAUCGAUAUGUAAAGGUAUUCGUAAAUAUGGAUUAUUCGUCAUCCAGACAGAGACACCGGUAUCCCAUAAAUAAAAGUUCGUCGGCAUAUCGAUAGCGGAUAAGGCGCUUCACUUCAGCAAUUUAAUCUAUUCUUCUCUCGUGUAUACGGCCGCCUCGCUCUCGGUAGUCGCGCGCGAUUGAUUUUUCCUGCAAUGCACCGACGAGCUGCCGAGUAAUUACGUACCGUUGACGUUUAAUGGGAGCGACAUUAUUGGAUUCUCGUUACUCCGACAUUUAUUCCCGGCCGUGUUAAGACUGCGUUUUUUUACGCGGAGACUCGAAGCGCAACGUCGGAAAACGAGCGUCUUUAUAUCCGCGCGAAUAAAACCGGUAUGCAACACUUUGAGCUCAUUCUGCCUCUCAUUCGCGAGUCGCGCAGAUAAUUAUUCGACCUUUCGAAUCGAGUAUUCAUCCGCAAGUGUGUGCGUGUGUUAAUAUUAAAAUUACAAAUAUCCACUCUCUCUACUUUUGAUACCAUCAGCCGGAAUAUGCCGUCUUGAUAGACUAGAAAGGCUAGCGUAGUAGCUCGUAGCGCUAAAGUAUCCAACGGACACAUUAAGCGUUUUAUAUCGUCGAUGAUGUAUGCGCAACGUUAUUUCAUCGUGGAUGAACGUAACUGGAUUUGCAGAAAAAAAUAAAACAUAAAUGUCUGCGCGUAAAUAAUCGCCCAUAAAAGAAAUGGCUAGCGCGUAUCCACGCGAUCACCAUAAAUCGUCACUUGGCGACUCCGGAUAACUAAUCAACCUCCCUCGAUUGAUUUAAUUGGACCGAACGACCGCCUCCCGAUUGAAAUGGCGAGACAUUUCCCGAGACGCGUGAUUCAAUCCGCUCGGUAUUUAGCAUCGACGACGAGGACGGCGAUGACGAAGACGACGACGAUGACGACAACGACUCGCUGUUCGAUUCCUAGACGGCCGGCUGAACGUCGAGAGCGCGGACCGCGCUCUUAAUUUAUGCGCAAUCACUCGGCCGUUCGAUUUAUUUGUUUUAUAAGCCGCCCGUAAUUGCCCACUGACAGCAGCUGUCCCAAGACCGACUACAAUAUCCGCGAUACAUUAUUCAUGCCGCGACGAUUCCCCCUCGCGUACACGGCGGUCCCCCCGAACUCGUCCAACUUCUGCUCUUCGUCGUCUCGCUUGUCUGCAGUCGCACGCGCGAUACGACCAACUGCUCUCCACGUGACACGCUCUAUCGCCUUGCCGCACGCACGCACCAUGCACGCACGUACGCACACCAAUCUCUUCGCCACUGCCCGCUGCUUCAUCGAAACUUGCGCGUAACGCAUCGGGCUCCUCCGACACUGGCUGACCUAUGUAGCGCUCAACUUGACGUCCACGCGCGGGGACAGGUAUUUCCCCGGUGACCGGAUUUCCGAAGCUCCGAUACAUUUUCGAGACGAGUGCUUGAUUUUUCUACCGGGGCAGGAAGGAAUACUCGACUCGACAACAUACUUUGGCCUGUCCAUGAAGACCAAAAAGAUCUGAAGAAUAUCCUGCGAGCCGUUUUAAUUCCUCGGACAUAUUCCAGGGCAAUGUUUCCGCGACCCAGGUUCGACAGUUCCACCAAAUACGGACACGUCUCGGGAAUUGAAAUAAAGGAUUGGGGUUAUAAAUCGGGGGCGAGGGACGGCGACGGUGGACAAACGUCGAUUCCCGUGAAAUUGAUCGCUGCGGCGGACCCGGUACACGGACACAGUGUGUCGAGGAUAAUAAUCGUUCGUUCGUGACAAUCGAUGGCAGCUUCAUCGGCAGCGGGCGAUGGAUCUUCACAAUCGGAGGGGAGCUUUCGAAAGCUCGUUUACAACGACCGAUGACGACGAAUGGCUAGCCGUGAAACCUGUGAAUCUUUUGACCGGCUUCGUCGGCCGACACACAUGCACACACGCGAAAGAGUCAGGACUGUAGCUAUUUUAAAGAUAAAAUGAUAUAGUGGACUUUCAAAAUUCUACCAGCCCCGCAUUCCCUCCAGUAGUUCUCCAAUUUCCACGAGGUAAUCUAAUAUAACUUCACGUUGAAAAAUUAACAAAUAAAGAAAAAUGAACAGAGACAAGAUAAAAAGAUAAUUACUAUACGAAAGAUAACAAGAAAAAGAAGAAUACAAGAAAGCACAGUAAUUAUAUUUUAUAAUCACAUUCUUACUAAAGCAGCUGCUAAUGACGCAAUUAAUAAAUCAGCGUGAAAUAUUGAUAAAGCAGAAUAGAAAAUAAACUAAUAUUACUACUCAACAAAUUCCAAAUAGAAAGAGUUGUGUUUCUUCACUUAUUCCGAUUAAUAUUUAAGUUAGAAAGAAAGAAAAAGUAAAUCCAACACGUUUUUAACGUAGUCAUCAGAAUCUGGUAGUUCAAGAUACAUUACUGAAUCACAUUCUCGACUUUCGCAUCCGAGGCUAAGGCCGCUUAUGCGAUCGUCCACACGACGGCAUUUAAUCUCGUUUGACGGACGAUUUGUCGCAUUUACGCCAACGUGGUGAAAAGAAUGGUUAAAGGGUGCCGUCGUCGAUCGAUGGUCAGGCUACACUCGUUUUAAAUGCGCGCUUGGAUGACGUACAGGGUCUAUGUGUGCAAUAAAUACUUUUUUUGAAUUUACUUUUCUAAUAAAAUACCAGCUCAUAAAAACACUGUCUUUUUAUUUACUUUAAAAAAAUUAAUUUAACUAGCUCUGUUUUAAUUCUGUUAAAUGUAAAAUAUAAUUCUGCUUAAAAACUAUGUUGCGUUGAUAAAUAUUCUAAUAGCUUCGAGAAAAGGUUUCCUUCACGGCAUUUUUACCCUUCGAAACCAUUCAAACUUUACCCAAAUAUUUUCCGUACCUUCAAAAUCUGAGGGUCGUAUCUGGGUGUUCUGUUUCAAGGGGAUCUCUUUGUAUGACAGCAGCUCGACAUAAUAUCUCAGGUCCUAGUAACCGUAAAAACCAUGCCUGCCGAUGGGUGAUCGACAAAAGGUACGUCACGCAAAACUCUGUCAACCGAAUCGAUUCUCAAGUGACUCGCGCUGCAUUUCGUGUCAUGUCGCAACUCGAUGCGAUUACUAUGAUUAUCGCGUGUAGCAGUAGACACGAAAUGUACAUGCCAGUGUUACACUUUCGACUCAAAACCAAAGCACAAAUUUGUUUCAAAAGAACAAGAAACAUUCCGGAAAAAGUUGCGUUUAUGAAGACAAAAAUCGCAUUCAAUUUUUUUGAGAAAAAGACUAUAGUUUAUAAUCUUUUGAUAUGAUUUAUAUAAAAUCGUAAGAAAGUGCACUUAUCGUAUAUAUACAUCUACAUAUGCAAUAAAAAUUCUUAAUUUUCUUUUAAUCCAAAUAAAAAUAACAAUUUUCCGAAAAAGAUUAUGCCUGAUGUACUCAAUAUAUGUUUGAAAAUAAAAAUACAUUUGAUACACAGAUGAAUCAUUUCGAGUAUAGCUCAUUUACGGAAGGCUGCGCUCCCCCAACCAUUCCGUCGACCGAUUAUAUCCCAUCAGGUCAGCCCCGGUGCAAUGUUGGCAACCCCAGAGCACUUGGUUGGUUUCGAUAAUCGAUCGGCUCGAUAGUGUCGGGAAAAAUCAGGCUCGCCUGUUCGUCUAAGCGCCCUUUAAUUAUGUUUUCUCAGUUUAUUGCUUAACGAGCGCCUCUCGCGAUCACGAUCCGUUCGCUUGUCUGCCAUUAACCGAUAUCGAUUAGGCGUUCGGUUAAGCAGCGUAAUCUGCACGUGCGAUUGUGGCGAAAGAAAACAAAAUCUGAAAUACUCCCGAGUUUAUGAUAGAUUAAGCUCGACUGCGUUACGCUUCUUGCAAAAUUCAAUAUUUGUGCUACGAAAGUAAAUCACGAACAACCAGUGAACAAAUCUUUUUUAUUGCAUGAUAGCGAAUAUUAAUAUUAAUAUCUUUUCCUGAACUUUUCAAGCAAAUCGAUUUUUUAUAACGCUCCAUGAAACAAAGUUUUUUUCAGAAACAAGAAAAAUCAUGAGUACGACGAUCCAUGCAAUUAAUGCGUUACAUUUUAUUUUGCGGCGGAAGUUACUUGAACAUUUGAACUCAAUUAACCGUGACUUUAGUCGCACCGCACGUUCUCGUUAGCACGACUCGUCCGAAUUAACUUCUUAUAAUUUAUAGCAACGAGAACUGGGAGAUUCGUAUCUCUCGUUGUUUCAAAUUAAUACGACAAAGAGAGACGGCAAGAAACGACCACUUUGCAUUUUCAUAACCAUUUCAAGAACUUUGAAAAAAUUUUCGCUUACUUACAUUUUACAACGAGUUUGCAAUGAGAAAACUUCUAUAAAUACGUAAGAUAUUUAUCUAUAUGUGCACAAAACGUUAUACACUAUUUAAUUAAACUUCAUCAUUGAAGAUAACGAGAUUGUUCCUCGUUAAAGGACAGCAAAUAUGAUUCAACAGCGACGCAAGAUACAGAAAGAUAUGUGUACCUUCCGUGAAGAGAUAGGCGAUAUCGCGAAUGCCUAUGCGAAUAUCUGUGUCCGUUCGACUGACAAUUAUUCUCGACAACGAGAGUAAUAACUCGGACAAUUUUAUUUUACACGCCUACGCAACCGCGCGCGCGUGUUUCUGUAUGCAUUGAUAAUUGCAGAGGACCCUUAUCGUUCUGAUAUUUGAGCAGCUGGGAUCACCUCAUGCUAUACAAACGCUCCUAAUGAGUCGUAUUUAAGCUCACGAAACUGUCGCACAAAUAUUUGCCGAGGCUGAUUUCACUCACCAAAUAUUAUUUCCGAUCAGUCACGCAGAUCAUAUCGCCGAUAGGUGUAUAUUUAAUAGCAUCAAUACGACGCCGUCAAUAUUGCAUAUUUUCAACACAGUUAACUUUUCGAAUGUCACUGAAUGUGAUUGAAUACGGAAAAGAAAAUAUCGAUUUUCUUAAAAUCUAUAAAAUACGUCAUAUAAUGCGUAUAAAAAUUUUAAAGAUUUCACACAAUCAAUAAAAUAUAUUUACUGUAACGUAUGUCAUACAUAAUGGUUUUUAUAUAUGAAUUUAUUCAUCGUAAUAUUAACGUCUCUAAUAAUAUUUCAUCAAUGUGAUUUAAUAUUAUAAUAUUUAUUAAUAUUUCCAUUAGCGGUACUUUUCAGUUAGCAAGAUUUUCUUCGCGAUUACAUUUUACGAUACACUGCGCAGUCGUCCGAGUGUUAAUAAUCUAAAAAUUUUAAAAGAACGAUUCGCAUCAAAUGAGGCACUUACUUAAUUAAUUUGGGUCGGAAAAGAUCAAGGAAAAUCGAUUCGUUCGCUUGGACGACCACGGUCGAAUUAAUCGUGCGGUAAAACGCGAUAUCGCGCACGCUCUAAUUUCGAAUCCAUUUACCCUAAUCCUCGUGGUGGAAUCAGAAGAAGAGAUAGAAAGAAAGAGAGAGCGCAGCGUCGCGACGCUGUCACAUGCGUUAUCGAUCAGCGGCGAGGAGGAGGGUAGGAGGAGGAUAGAGGCAGGAACACAUCCACCGCACACAGCCGGUGACACGAGUGAACCCGGCCAUUUUGAAAACCACCGUGUUGCUUUGCCAUAAAAUCCUGGCUGUAACGUUUCACGACGGGUAUAUGGGCGAAAACACGCUCGUUAAAACGCGCGCGCGCGAGCGCGCCUGCCGUCGAAAAACUCUCGCGUUGCUGCUGUACGGAAAAAUCGAUGCCACCGCUUUAACGUCGCGAUAAAUCCUCCGGUAUUGCGCCGCGUAAACGCCGCAAUUUUUAUUAUUUCAAUUUUGCUCCGCGUUUCCACAGCCGCGUGUCCGACGUCUCCGCAAUUAUUCGUCGCGCUACGGAAUGUAAAUUCUUUUACGAGGAUUCCCUCGAGCCUCUCUCGGUUUCUCUAUCCGAGAGACACUAAAACUUCUCUACGAGUAUCGAUAUUUCCCUUGUUCACUUAAUAUCCGCGUAUGAACAAGUACGAGUACCGAUAAUAUACUGCCGCAGCAUAAAAUACACUACAAUGUAAAAAGCUUGACGUCGUAAAAGUGAAAUUGCCGAUAAUCGACGUCACUUUCAGAAUUAUCGUUUUCAAGUUGGCAUGAGUUAUUUAAUUUCCUACUGAAAAGUGCCCUUCCCGAGAAAUGGUGCAAAUUUAUCGGGCAACGUUACUAAUUAAAUCGAACGCCCGUAUGUGGUGACACACGCAAGUCGAUCGCGCAGCGCGAAUAUUAAUGGCAAAUAUUAAUAGAGUGAAUACGCAACAAUCGACAAAUUCAUUAUAGAGCGCGUGUCGGAUCGUGUUAUGUUAAUUGCGGCGUCGUUCCGCAUACAAAACGAAUGCAGGAGCCUCGGCACGGUAUUAUUUAUAAUUAUAACAACGUGCCGCGCUUGUAAUUGUCGUGUACACGACAUCGUAAGCGACACUGAUUGCGUUUUGCGGCCGCGUACCCGAUUUCGCGCUGACUGACUGAACAGUUCGUUAUACGCGCGCGCGCGCGCCUUACACACAGCCGAAUCACCGUAAUCGGCGCGCGCGAUUACUCGCAAGGACGAGCGGCGACUUUGAUUUCACGUUCACCGAGGCGAUUUACGAUACUUGGAGGUUUUCGGCAAAACGAUCGCGCCGAGAUCUGCUUAUACAACAUAAAGAAACGAAGAAAUCAUCGAGUUUCCAGUUGAAUAAAAACGAUCGGAAAUAUUAAUUGGCAUGUGUGAAGUUAAAUAAAAUGAUAUGCACAUAUUCAUGAAUAUCAAGAAAUUUAUGUAUCUCUGUGCAUGGAAAUUAUAAACACAUAAAUAAACGAGAGAUAUUCUUUUUGAAUAAUUAUUCUCGCGUAAUGAAAAAUAAAUGACACCGCGAGUGUUCAAAUAUAAAAAUAUUAUUCGAUGUUUCAAAUAAUAAUUUUUCUGCAAUGUUUAAACGGUACGUAAAUACAGGAACAUACGAGGGAAAGCCAGAUACACAUACAUAUACUUGGGCAGUAAAUGCGUUCUGCUUUACUGGCGAUGUGCCAACUAUCUGAGAGACGUGAGCAAAUCUACGCUGCUCAAUGUCUGCAUCAUCCGCUAACGCAAUGUGCAACAAUGACAGAAAAAUAAAACAAUGACACGUGCCGCAUUAUACGAUAAUGACUGCGAAUACGUAAUAAUCCUAUUUGCAUUAAAAUACGCAAAUCUAUUUAUAAUCUGAUUUGCAUGUAUAAAACCCUUAACUCACAGGUUACCACUUGCUGGGCGCGCACAUUGUUAACCGACCGUCGUGCAUACCGUAAAACGGUUACAGUAAUAGCUGUUUACGGUACAUUUCCGCUUUCUCCCGGGUUUCCUUUUAGAAAUGCAAAUGCGACGUCGUCGCGGAAAGGCCGAUUCCGAAUCGGAAAAACUCGUCAUCGUAAUUAAAGUGAUUCUACUAGCGCUGAUACCGCUCGCACAUCUCGCUUUCAACGCGGAAAGUGUACGGAAAUGUAACGGGCGUAAUGCAGUUUCAUUCCGCGAUUGAGAGAGAGAGAGACCACCACGCGCGCCAGCGUGUAUGCCGCGGAGACGUAACGAGUUCCUGCCUCGUAAAUAAAGCGCGCUCCUUUGACAGAGCGACGCCUCCACCCGCGUAUCGGCGGCGCUUUACGAGCUCGGCUCGUGAACUCGCGUCCCGAGUGCGAGAGUGCAUACACACAAGUACGCGCACUCGGCACUCGUCGAGUGCACGUACCGGUUGGGCGUAAAGUACGCGCGACAGCCCGCCGACUACAAAGCCCGUAUGGCGUGUGAAACACCGGUGCUGCGCGACGCGACACGACGAUGUCGGAUGGCGUGGCGGUACUCCCGGCGGACGUUGCCUGGAGUAAUAGCGCACGGAGAGAGGAAUCAGAGGAGAGACGGGAGGAGAGGAAAGAGCCAGAGAGAGAGAGAGAGAGAGAGAAAGGCAAACGAGCGAGAGACGUAGUAAGGAGCGCGUACUACAAGGCACUCAGGAAUCUUCUCGGUUCCCUAAUAGGCAGGUGACUGCCUGACUUGACUGCCGAGUGCCGGCGGUCCGUCGGCCUGCAGGCGAACAAUAAUACGACGACCAAGACGAUGACGAGUUGUCUCUGUCUGUGCUCUCUAUCUCUUUUUCUCUUGCCCAUCUACAUGCAUGCAUGCACGCUUCUGUGAGCCGCGACGUUCGAUCCGUACGCGCACGAACGAACGCCUCCACGCGAGGAUACUUAAAUUCAGGAUAUCGACACUUCUGCCUGUUCGGAUAGGUCGAAUACCUCGAGUGUCUGUGCUGUUGGAUACUAAAACGUUUUGAUGUCUUCUCGAUAUCGCUGAAGACACAAUUGGGAAAAGUUUUAUGAUAAUAUUGUCGCAAUAACUAUAUAUUAUUGGAAAAUAGCGUUAAUAAAUUAUUCUCCUAAAAUUGAUAAAAAAAUUGAAAAAUUAAAUACGGAUUUGGAAGAAGAAUACUUGAUAGAAAGUUUCAUAGUUAUAUACUGUUUCGUUCACCUAGUGGAAUUAAAAGAAAUCAAAUUAAAAUGCUCAAUAUCAGCAGUAAAUUCUAUUUUUAAAUCUUUUUAUAAUUCUCUCUUUCUCUCUUUCCUUCAAUAUUGGAUAUACAAAAGAUUGUAAAAUGUUCUCUUCUAAUUGUACCUACGCGGUUGGGUGCUUUGAAAACUUGUACUAAAUCUUGAGCUGCAAAUAAAUUUAACCCUUUAUCCAACGCUGAAACUUUUCGAUCAAUUAUUUCGACCAGGUCAAUCGCGCGUCGGGCUUUCAGCUUUUUACAUGGGGAAUCAAUUAACCCCUUUGUAACGCGUCGAUAAGCGCCAUAAAUGCGCGCGGGACGUACGAUACUAGGUUACCGCGACUAAAACCUCGCUAUUAGUCACGAAAGUCUACUCUAAUCUUUACAACCUGUAGUUUAAUCUUUAUGCAGUACCGUAAAUAACAUUAAUGUGAUCGUUCCUGAAUUUCGUGUUUCUUCAUCUCUAUGCGAGUCAUCAAAAAAUGUAGGAAUCUGAUUUGUUUUUUUUUUAAAUAAAGAUUAAAAAAAGUGUGCGAUGAGAAAUUAAAAACUUUAUUUUAGACACGUGGACAUAUGUGUAGCGCCACAGUGAACCAUUCGCGUUGCAUAAAUGAAUAAAAUAAUAAAAUUAUUAUCUAACGUCCAGAUCUUCUGAGCAAUUUCGCUGAGGCCAGUUGUAACGAGCUUUUACUCUUUUACAAACGAAAAUCAAUUAAUCUCUUUGUCACGCAUGGAUACGCACUAUGUACGAACGGAAGAAUAGACCUCGAAUGCGCGAUAAUAGCUUACAGCCGGCAAAAACCGUACAUUUAGUUACAAAAGCCUACGGUCAUAUCUCACAUUUAAAUAUCAGCAUACACAAUUUCCACUGCAUGUUGCACAAUUUUCAUGUUGCAUUUCAGCUUUUACGUAAACAUUUCAUUAAUUUCCAAGUUGAUUACAUUAUAGACGGCUGUUUCAGACAGCAAAUAUUAUUUUAAUAAUAAUCGCGUAUUAUCUUCCUUCGUAUCAUCAAUCUUUCAUAAUCAUUUAUCAUCUCUCUAAUUAAUCUUUCAACUUUCUAUUAUUAGCACUUUCCGCAUUUUUCCUUACGCACGCAGGGCUUCGCAGUCGCGAGAAAUCCGGUUGCACAAAAGAUAUCAAUCGAUUUAACAACUACAUGAAAAUAUACGAGAGCGAAUAAAGGCGAGAGCUGCGCAACUUUAUCGGUCCGAUAAACCGAAAAUCAGACGGAAAUUUCACGAGGCUUGCGGCAUCAAUUAUCGGCUUGGCGAGAAAACGUUUCCGCGUCGGCGACACGUAGGCGUAUCGCUGUGUGCGAACUUUGCCGUUCAAGUGACGGCAGCAAAUAUACUUUGUACGCGUAAUAUACGUGUGCCCGUGUUAUCCGAUAUAGGCGUUUUACAUACCUGGUCGCGCGGUUGCCUGAUAAUCUCACCGCUCCCGUCACACGGGAUACUUUACGGCUUGCGCGACGCUCGUGAAGAAUUAAGACGCAUCCGACACGAACGAGUCGUUAAUCAGCUUUACGAGCCGCGGAUAAUGCAGCCGACUCGGUUGCAUAAGCGCGCGACCUUAUCUGCGCGGUUUAGAGCGAUGCGAAAGAAGAAUCGCCGGCAGAAAUCGGUGGCCGAUCUGCGUGUUACGCUGACGAAUGGACCGCUAAGAGGUCGUAAAUUAAAAAAGAAAUGAAAAACGUGGAGCGACCGUUUGGCGCGUGCGUCGAUUGGAAAAAUAUUCGAUAUCCGGUCGGAUGAAAAGGCGAAAAGAGCUCCGGAGCCUCAAAAACGCCGCGUCGUUAUUACUAUGGCGGAAAAGCGGCCAAAAAAACUACGGCACUCUGCAGCUAAAUUGCGCUUUUCUAAAUGAAUCCUCAAACAAGCGCGAGUGCGUGCGUGAAGCGGGGUCGCGCUUUUCUCCGGCACGCGCAAUCGAUAUGGAGCAUGCACCGCCCGGCGCGGAUAUCGAAUUGGAGUGUUUGGCGUGCGCUCGUCCGCACGCACGAGACAGCGGAUCGCCCGACAACAUCGCGUAUGCAUAAUACGAGACAAUAUAACUCAGCUCCGGGUACGCCGCACAAUUAGUGUGCAUGCGGUCGUCGCGGGCCGUGGCGCAAGCCGCAAUACGCGCGUGCAUCGCCGACAUCGCCGACGCCCAUGUGAGUCGCGCUAGCGCGACACGCUUGUACGAGUACGUGCGAGCGUGCGUACGUAUGUGCGUGCGUGCGUACAUGCGUGAGGCAAGCUACCGCCCGCGGUUGUCGAGUAGUCGUCGUCGCUGUCGCGUCUGUAAUUGUGCUUUUCCAUCUCCGCAUUUCCAUCUCCCGCGCCUCACACAGAGAGAAGCGACGAGAAUAAUGUGCGACCGUGUAAUACGAGCGAGCGUGAUAGCAUGCGCAGCUUCGUGUUGAAAAGCGAGACGUGACGAAUACGAGAACGAGAAAGCAGAUUGCAUAAAGAUGGACAAAGAAAGUCGCAUACGCGUCGCGCCGGCAGUGCGAGCGACAUUAUGACAGGAGUGACUGCGAUAGCAUGAGGGAUGUUCUUCAGAGAGAGGAAGAGAGAGAGAGAGAGAGAUGUUUGAUACGCUUGAUCCAACAGAGAAAGAGAGAAAAACGAUCGGAGUGAGGAGGAAGCUGAAAAGGAAUAGGUGCAGGCUGCACUACGAGAAAAGGGUGACGAGCGCAAUAUUGCAUCGGAGCAAGGAAGAUGGAGUACAUGCUCGUUGCACUCGACGGAGUCGACACGCUUCGGCCGCGAGUGCGGCGAGGAUGGUGCGAGAGGACAGCGCGGAGCGCAUCGGCCGCUUCCGUGUAACGUACGCGUGAUAAGGACGCGCGAUUGCACCCUCGCCGUCGGAUGAGAAACGGAGAGCGACGUUGUCGCAUGAGGGGGUGGAAUAGAGAACGACAUGCUUUGCCGCAAGCGUGAGGAGUGAAGGGCGCUGCCUUGCUGAAGAGAGAAACUGUAGGAAA